AAAACUUUUACAAGCAUCUAGGAAACGCUUGAUCAUCUAUUCUGUCGUAAAGUAGGCUUUUGAUAAAGUUCAGAUUGACUACAAUGGUGCAGGAUAUUACCUUUAUCCUUUUCAGUUUAGUUCCUUAUGUUGGAGUAAUGUGUCUAAAUUGUAAUACCAAGUAAUCUGCGAUGUUUUUGUACCGUCAAUUUUAAUAGAAUUUCAUGGUAGUUUUGUGCAGAUGAUGCCUGCCAUUUCUAAAUUGUUGAAGACUUUCUUGCAAUGGUCAGUGCACCACUAAACUGUAUGUGACUCAGACUAACAGUUGCGAUGUUCACAGAGCCUUUUCAAUUUAAUUACAAGUGACAUUUAUAUUUUUUCCCUUCAGCCAGCUUGCUACAAGAAUAUCAUCUGGAAAUUGGAUGUUAAUGAAAAAUAAGGACAUCACUACUGGUUCAGUAGACUGUGGAAUAGACAUGUUGAUGGUAUUUGAAUAUUAACUUGUAGGAGAGCAGGCUGGCUGUGUGGCUGCAGUGGGGCAGCUGACUUGAGAACAAGGGGCUUGGGUUUAUGAAGCUGCAAAGAUCAGCAGGGCCUACAGGAGGACCCAACAUGAAAAAAUGUUGGAGUUCAUGAUAAAGGGCCAUGGAGCAGAUGAUCACUUGCUGGUAACUUAGUUCAGAUAACAAGUAAGACUUUGUUAUUGUAAUCUUUAGCAAAGAGUUAUGAUGACUUUAUAGCACCAAACUCAUGUAUUUGCUUGUCCAACAGGCUGUUGUAUCUGAAAA